rnacentral:rRNA from 1 species
CAGGGAUUGCCCUAGUAACGGCGAGUGAAGCGGCAACAGCUCAAAUUUGAAAUCUGGCUACAUUCCGUAGUCCGAGUUGUAAUUUGUAGAGGAUGCUUUUGGUGAGGUGCCUUCCGAGUUCCCUGGAACGGGACGCCAUAGAGGGUGAGAGCCCCGUACGGUUGGACACCAAACCUCUGUAUAGCUCCUUCAACGAGUCGAGUAGUUUGGGAAUGCUGCUCUAAAUGGGAGGUAUAUCUCUUCUAAAGCUAAAUAUAGGCUAGAGACCGAUAGCGCACAAGUAGAGUGAUCGAAAGAUGAAAAGCACUUUGAAAAGAGAGUUAAACAGCACGUGAAAUUGUUGAAAGGGAAGCGCCUAUGACCAGACUUGUUUCUGGCAGUUUCGUUAGCCCUCGGGCUGAUUUACUCUGUCCAGUACAGGCCAGCAUCAGUUUGCUGUCGGGGAGAAAGGCUCUGGGAACGUAGCUCCCCCCUUCUGGGGGGAGUGUUAUAGCCCUCUGCAUAAUACCCUUCGGCAGACUGAGGACCGCGCUUCGGCAAGGAUGCUGGCGUAAUGGUCAUCAGCGACCCGUCUUGAAACACGGACCAAGGAGUCAACCUUAUGUGCGAGUGUUUGGGUGUAAAACCCCAGCGCGUAAUGAAAGUGAACGUAGGUGAGAGCUUCGGCGCAUCAUCGACCGAUUCUGAUGUUUUCGGAUGGAUUUGAGUAAGAGCACACAGGGUUGGACCCGAAAGAAGGUGAACUAUGCUUGUAUAGGGUGAAGCCAGAGGAAACUCUGGUGGAGGCUCGCAGCGGUUCUGACGUGCAAAUCGAUCGUCAAAUAUGAGCAUGGGGGCGAAAGACUAAUCGAACCUUCUAGUAGCUGGUUCCAGCCGAAGUUUCCCUCAGGAUAGCAGUGUUGAAUUUUCUUCAGUUUUAUGAGGUAAAGCGAAUGAUUAGGGACUCGGGGGCGCUAUAUUGCCUUCAUCCAUUCUCAAACUUUAAAUAUGUAAGAAGCCCUUGUUACUUAAUUGAACGUGGGCAUUCGAAUGUAUCAACACUAGUGGGCCAUUUUUGGUAAGCAGAACUGGCGAUGCGGGAUGAACCGAUCGCGUGGAUAAGGCGCCAGAGUGAACGCUCAUCAGACACCACAAAAGGUGUUAGUACAUCUUGACAGCAGGACGGUGGCCAUGGAAGUCGGAAUCCGCUAAGGACUGUGUAACAACUCACCUGCCGAAUGUACUAGCCCUGAAAAUGGAUGGCGCUCAAGCGUUCCGCCCAUACCACGCCCUCAGGGUAGGAUCUAUGCCCUGAGGAGUAGGCUGGCGUGGAGGUCGUGACGAAGCCUAG